rnacentral:lncRNA from 1 species
ACCAGCUUGUCGGCGCCAUUUUGUCUCGGCAGCGGUGGCCGUAGCUCCAUCGCAUUUUAUGUUUCUGGCGAGAAGGGAACGGAGUUUUCAUCAGGUAGAUUGGUUUUUGUGCGGCCGUCCUCCACCGUUUCCUCCAGGACAGCACCUAGUCGUGGCCGGAGGAGUCUCAGAGCUGUCAGAAAGAAUAAGACUGAUUUUAUGGGAAAAUUAAGCAGAUGCUCCAGUUUGAGAAACCUGGAUCUGCGAUCUGUUUGUGAGUGGUAUUCAGUUAAGAGAACAAUUAUUUCGUAUAAGCCACAUCAGAGACGACUGAAGAUGAAAAAACUACCAUCCCCGUAUAUAACUAAUUUGUGCUGUGCACCAACAAGAACCUGCUUUAAAUUUCCAUGGCAAUUUACAACCCCCAUACUGUACCAGGCAAGGUACCAGCAUCAAGAUGAUUUAUGGUAAUAAGAUAUAAAACCAAGGAAAAUAACCUAAAGUCUGAAAAAGACCAGAAUCGAAGUUUCCUGAUUCAUAUUUUAAUGUUUUGAAAUUUAUACUCCAGGCUGGGUGCAGUGGCUUGUGCCUGUAAUCCCAGCACUUUGGGAGGCCGAGGCGGCCGGAUUGCCUGAAGUCAGAAGUUCGAGACCAGCCUGACCAACAUGGUGAAACCCUGUCUCUACUUAAAAAUACAAAAGAGCUGGGCAUGGAGGUGGUGCGCGCCUGUAACCCUAGCUACUCGGGAGGCUGAGGCCUAAGAAUCUCUUGAACCCAGGAGGCAGAGGUUGUAGUGAGCCGGGAUCACGCCACUGCACUCUAGCCUGGGCGACAGAGAGAGAGACUGUCUAAAAAAGGAAAAGAAAAAAAUUUAUACGCCAAAAAAGAUAUUCUGAGAUAACCUGUAGUUACCACUAACUUUGUGACAAAAUUAUAAAAAUCCACAGCCAUCUAUGAAUCUGUAGGCAGACCUGAAGUUUGAACGACUGGUGAAGACAUCUGAUUUUCUUUAUAGCCAAGUUAGGAUAACAAAAUGCAAACAAGUCAUUAAUAUUUACUAUAUGCAAGAUACAGAAAGAUGAAGGAAGGAGUAAGAAGUUAUCCUUCGUGGAACUAUUCAAAGCAAAAAUGCAAAAUACCAGGGAAAGCUUUGAAGAACCAAGAUUUGAGCAGGUUCUUAGAAUAUAGAUUGGAUUGGAUUUGAUUUCAAGAAAGAUGAACGUGUAAAGCAGAAGUGGGAAGCCAAAAACUUUUUUCCAAAUUAGAAUUAAGCAUUCUUUCAAUGAACAUUUGGAAAUCAAGGUAGAAAAAUAUCCCUAGGGCCUAGCUGAGGAGUCUGUAUGUUGUUGGGUUUUGAUAGUAACCAGUCCAAGAUUUUGUUAUUAGACGUGGGUUUCUGAAUAGACAGGCAUUUCUGAACAGACAUGACAGGAUCAAAACAAUGUUUGAGCAAACUGCCCUUCAUCUACUGUGGAUAUGUUGGGGGAUGAUGGAAUAUAGUGAAAGAUAAUGGGUGCUCAUACAGCAGUCUAGACUUAAGGUGAUUCAACUACUAUAUAUUAAACUAGAUUAUCUUUUAUUUUUUAAUUUUGAAAUCUGGAUGCUCAAGCUCUGCCUGCACAACCACAUGAGGAAGAAGGAACAAUGACAACAAAAAUAACACUAAAUUUAAAUUUAAGAGUACUACUUUUAGGAAAUAGACAAACCAUUAUUUGGGUACAACUAAAGGCAACUGGCAUGGACUCAAAUAUUUUGGGGAAGAAAAAGACUAAAAGUUCUAAGGAAGAAAAUGCGAACCUUGAUAGUUUGAAAUAGUUAAAAAGACAGUGUAGAAACUGCUUAGGCAGUUUGAUUAUGGACUAUUAGAUGAUACUUGGGUCUGAUAAUGGUAUAAGGAGAAUAAAGUAUUUAGGGAUCCAAUAUUACGCCUGCAGCUUUUUCCAAAUAGUUCAUGGGGGAGGGGGAUGUGUAAGUGGUUAACUGAAGUCUAACUAGAUAGGUUUGUUGUAAGCUUAGGAUGUUUACAGUUCUUCAUGUUAAGUUGAGCGUGAUGGGAAGGGAAAGAAUGCUGAUCUUUAAAUUUUUGUCCUUAGUUAAGUUCUGUAUUUAGUGAAUUAAUUGCAUCCUAAAAAGUCAAACUUGAAAAGCACAUUUUAAAUGGCAAAUCUAUUUUUUACAUGUUUGUGAAGUUUUUAUUUUUUAGUAAACAGACCAUCAGAAGAGAACAAUGGUACAGAGCAGGGGUCAGCAGAUGGAUUUUGUAAAGCAUCAACUUGUAAAUAUUUUCAAGUUUAUUAGCUGUAUGGCUCUGGUUUCUGUUCCCUGUUCCAAAUGUUAAAGUCUACUGUUGUAUUCUAAAAGCAGCCAUGGACUGAAUGUAGCUGUGUUCCAAUAAAACUUACACAAAAGCAGGCAGUGGGCCAUAAUUUGCAACACCUGAUUCACAGCAUAAUUUUGUCACAAACUGAAAGUGUUCCUCAAUUAAAGUGAUUUUUUUUUCUUGAAAAAAAAAAAAAAAA